UGACCUUCCCUAAAGAGGGAACUACGGCCAUACGGACAGCCGGGUCAAUUGCCGA
ncrna:unclassified sequences Streptococcus sRNA SpF59 (ldcC RNA)